rnacentral:rRNA from 1 species
GGCUAUGCAUGUCGGCCGGGUAUUCUUCCACCCUUCAGGAAAACCAGGUACCAUCUCAACGAGUUCUCUGGUAGGAAUUAUCCUAGGACUGCACAGGACCUGUUUAAUCUCAGACACUCCAGCCUUAGAGUAACUGUUGAGAGGGCAUUUGGAGCUCUGAAGAAUAGGUUUAAGAUCAUGGAUCAGAAGCCAUUCCACCCAUACUCCACUCAGGUUAAGCUAGUUCUUGCUUGUUGCAUUCUGCAUAACUGGAUCCUCUAGUGGGGCUUUGAUGAACACGUGCCUGAGGAGGAAGAGGUCGAGCCUGACGAUGUUGUUAGCUUCGGCCGUGGUGUGGAGGCAUCUGACAAUGAUGCUGGGAAGAACAAAAGGUUGGGGUGGGCAGAGGCAAUGUGGCUUAACAGAGGUCGGUGUAGGAUUUGA